CAAAUUAUCCACUCCGAUUUUUUCCAGAAUUUUACAAUACAAACAUAUAAUAGGUGACUUUUAACUUACCGAAAAAUUAUGCCGUAGUCUUCACGAUAACACACCAAGCGCCCACAGUGUAAAAACAGUCAAUAGAAGUCAUCAAAACAUCACGCCGUUUUCCCUAAUAUUGUGCACAUUUCAACAUAUUCUUGAUUUAAAGAUACAUUAAUAAUUCAAGCACGUUAGGUGAAAGAACAGCCCGAAAAUAAGUAAAACACACACCAAAUCAUUGUGGGAGAAUGGGUUCAGGGUGAAGUGAACCAAUUAUAUACAUUAUACUCUCAAACUCUGGUCAACCCAAAGACUCAUUAAGCCUUAUGUUUUCAUCCCGCAGGCGUAUAUAUAAGACCUGCUAGGAGAGACUGAAUGCUCCAUAGGAGCUCUGCCCGAAGGGUAGCGACCCCCUCUGACAUAGACCUGAACCAAGGGGUGAUAAUCCCCUUGGACAGUACCUACGAUUCGACUGAUUAUAUUUACAUAAAUAACCUGAGUCUAUGGGCCUGAAGUUGACCAUUGGGAACACUUCAACCCCACAAAUACACAGCAUGUGUAUUCCCCAUAGACGAACUCCCACCACAGCUGUAUUCGUAUACAAGACAGCUGCUGCCAGAUGAUAGUUAGACAUAUAUUUGGGCGUUACCAUCACUCAUACUAUAGCUGGAUAGUCAGGGAGGCCAGAAAAAACCUGGAAUAUACAGGAAACCUGGAUGGGGCCAAGACAACCAGCAGCUUCCCCACAAAGCUUCUAUCUUACAAUUUUUUAAUUGGAGGGUUGGUAACACGACAAACAAAGCUCACUAUCGAGGCACAUUUUAUUUAUUUUUAUUUAAUUUUUUAUUUAUUUUUUUUUUUUUUUAAGUUAAAUUAAUGUGUUCAUAAAUACGUUUUGCACAACAUUUAUUUGUUAACCGCACUUAUUUUAUUUCAAUUACUGUAUGAUCAGUGGAACUUUCUCGAAUUAUGUGACAUUACUCUCACAAAAAUAGCUUAUUCAUUACUUUAAUUCAAAAUAGCAAGACCAAAAUUUUGCGAUCGAACAUCCGAUCAUGCAUGCAUGAUAUUAGCAGAAAGAAAUUGUAAGAAUAUGUAUGUGGUAGUCAAAAUAGUUUAUAGGCAGUAAAUAAUAGUACAUCAAAGGAUUUUCAAUUUUCAAAAGCGUAGGCAUACAUGGUAUCGUACCAAUCUUUCCUGAUAUCCAUCUUGCCGAUUUAUCGCAAAUGUGCAAAAACAUAUAUCAUGUGCAGAGUUUUAAGUCUCAAAUUUCGUUCACAAAUGAGCUUGCUUUCUUAAGUUUUGAACAGUAAAGUAUUGAAAAU